rnacentral:miRNA from 1 species
UCGGACCAGGCUUCAUUCUC